CCUUUCAUCUUUAAAAAAUUCAUUUAUUCAUUCAUGCAAGAGCAAAAACAAAAAUAAGAAAAGUGUGCUGAGUGCCCAACAUGUCCAUCCAUAUGUGAGCACAAGAGAGAAGCCUUCUCUGGCCCCUGGAGCUUCCAAGCACUUUUUUUUAAAUAACACAGUAACAUACAAUCACAAAUUAUAAUUACUUUUCUAAAGGAAAGUAGAGGGUGCUAUUCAAUGUUUAAAUGGCAACUACACAGCUCUGAGAUGAGAGAAGAACCUUUUGAGGAAAUCUUCAUUAAGACUAUAUCUUCCUCUGAGUUCUCCCACAAGCAGGUCCUGGGAUGUGGCUUUGGGAGCAGGUAGUUCAUUUGGGAGGGUGAUGCAGGAAAUGAGAAAGGAAGCAGGAAGAGGGAGACAAAGAGCAAAGUGAUGUUAAUAGGAUGUGCUAUCUAGCUGGCCACCCCUGUGGAGAGUGGGAUCUCAAUCUGGCUGGGGAUCCCCAAAGGCACCACAUGGAAUGCCCCUCAGAACUGCCUGCCUUCACUUGAGGCUGGGCAUUUUUCCAUCUGAUUUCCAUCUGCCAAUAAUUGUCUGUUGCUCCCCCCACGCCAGGUUCCUUGACUGAGUAAGUCUCACAGCUUCAGAGAAAGACCUGUAGGAUUUAAAGUGCCCGCAGGUGAGUGCAGGGGUCUCUGCAGAAGAACCAGCAUGCAAUCAGAAAGCCACUUCUACCAGAGCUCUGGAGAAGGAAUGGGAUUCAGGGACCCUCCAGCUGCUGCCCCAUCCUGGGUCCAAUAGAGAGCCACCACCCUGGCGUUAGCCACCGAUGUCCUUCUCACUGCCAUGGACUCGAGCUGCCCCUGCUUUCCACACUGUGCUGUCAGCUCAGUGGCUCAGGCAACUUCUUCAAAGUGGGUGUCAGACAGUUUCACUCCUCUUCUGCAAACCAGCGUAUCCUCGCCCUAAUCCUUGCACCUACACGACCUUGCCCAGCACCGCCUGCUUCCUGUCUGACGGCACUGUCACCGUCCCUCCUCCCUGGGCUGCUGUCGCUCUGGGCCUGCUGCUCCAGGCCUGGGCUUCUGCUCAGUGCCCUUUGCCUGGACAUCGUGAGUUUUGCUCCCUCAAAUUACAUUCGAGGAGGACUUCCUGAACCCCUCUCCCCAGUCUGAAACCCCUUCCCUGCUCUUAGGGAGGAACCCCAGCUUCCACAGCAGGGCUCCGCACAGACAGGCUCUCAGGAAAUAUGUUCUCCAAGAAACGGACUCAAGGAAGAGGAGUAAACUAUAAACCAAGGUCCCGGAGUAGAUUCCCCCGCGCUCCGGGUCGGCUUUCCGGGGUUCACGCCCUUCCCUCCGCGCAAGCUCGGAGUACUAACGCCGGCGGGCCGUGCCCCGGAGCGCGUAAGAGCCAAUCCGCAGCCGGUGCGCGACUGAUUGGCGUCCAGCGGCAGAGGCUCCUGAUUCUGAUUGGACAAGCCUCUGUGGUAGGCGGGCCUACAAAGGCGGAGGCCGGAAGUGCAGCGGAGUUGCUCCGGCCUGGGCUGGGGUCCCCGGGGUUGUGCGGCUGGCAUGGCCGCGCUGCGAAGGCACGUGUUUGUUGGAAAAGUACUGAAGAAACUUUAUCCUGAGGUUUCCCACGGCCAAGAAAAGAGGGCCCCUGUGACUCCAGCCUCCAGAAACCCACCUGAGAAAGUGCCUCCUGAGAGAGUGAAGGACCAGAGCGACCCUCCUGAGACAGGUGGUGACACUCGGGUCCAGCCCACGCGGCGGCUCUAUACCGUGGGCCUGCCUCCCGAGGGGUGGGUCCCCCCUCCACCGGAGCCCCCGAGUUGCUCAAGUUCAGAGAGCUCUUCCAGCAGCGAGGACACAGGAGAUCAGGAUCUUCACGAUCUGCCAAAGAGAAGAAGAAUUAGAAAGCAUAAAUCAAAGAAAAAAUUUAAAAAUCCCAAUAACAUCCAUGUAGAACCAGCAGAAUCAGAGAAACAGCAGAGUCUUCUGCAAGAAAAAUUGCAGCCAUGGCACACAGAUGGCCCCACAAUAAGCAAAAAUAAAAAAAGGAAACUCAAAAAGAAACAGCAAAUGCAAAGGAAGAAAGCAGCUGGUUCACUAACAGGAGCCUCUGGCAUGCACUUCAUGUACCAGCCUGAGGAGACCAGCAGUGAGCAGGAGGAUGUGCCAGUGACUGAUGGAGAGUGCACUGGGGGGGCCACGGGGGGCGGGGCUGCAGGCGCUGUGGAGGAGAGGAUCCUGCCCCUUGAGGAGGGUGGAGUCCCGGACGCUGAGGAGGAAGAGGUGAAAAGUACCAAUGAAAAGGCAGAUGGCAUCCUGAACUUUUUGAAGUCAACACAAGAAAUUUAUUUUUAUGAUGAUGUCUCCAAGGAUUCCAAUUCUGGUGUCUUUAUGGAAAGUACCAACGAGCUAUUUAAACAACUAGAAACUCACAGUGUGUCCCCCUCAGACGUAUUCAUUCUGGAUCACAUGAAAACGCUGCUACUUUUGCACGACACCAAGAGAUUGAAGAGUGCCCUGGACCUGUUCCCGGAACACUGCAGGAUGCCACCUGAAUAUGCCCGAGUAAUCUUAGCUUUCUUUAAUUACUGGAUCACGCAUAUCCUUCCUGAGAAAAAUGAUGAAUGAAAUCAGUGCAUCUACUUAAAAAGAGCUAAUAUUUGACAAGAAAAUAGAAAAGACAGGGCUCGUCUUCCCCCUCACCUCACCGUGUUCUUAAGAGGUGUCUGUCCCACUAAGUGGAACCUCCUGGAGGCAGGUGAAUCAGCAAGGAUGCCCUACUGGUUCUGGAGAUCUGUCAUCUUAAGACUUGUUUCUGUGAAGCUCCCCAGGCUUAAUAAAAGCUGGUAAGUGGAGCCACAAACCAGGCCUGGACAAGGAGAGGCCCAGCCAGGAGAGGUGACCGGCCAGGUCAGGUCCACUGACCAGGAUGGGUCACUAGCCAGGACAAGUCCACCGACAAGGACAAAUCCACCAGCCAGGACAGGCCACCAACCAGGAGAGGUCCACCAUCCAGGAUGGGCCCCCAAUGAUGAUGGGCCUACUGUACCCCAGGGGCUGCCUCCUUGAGAAUGGAUGCUGAUCCAUUUUCCCCAUGAAGAUGGAAAAAGAACACAGCCACCCCCCGAAGUAGGAGCUGUGGCAGCUUCCUGUCUACACCUAUAAUGGCCUUCACUUACCCCUCAAUGGAGACAUACUCAGCCGCCGCCACUGCCUUUUCCUCCUGCCCUGAGACGUCACAUUGGUGAGGUCAGAGGCUGGGGAAUCAUGUCCCCUUCACCACACGGUUGUGGGGUCACUGGCAGGCAGGUGAUGUCAGCCUGCUGCCUCCUCUCCGGAACAUCCCACUGCCUUGGGCGAGACAUCUGACUUUCUGAUUCGCCAGGUUGUAAUUCUUUCAUUAAGAUGCCUCCUAAUUAACGACACAUUUGCCAGUAUAAAAAUAAAGUAUUGGCUGAUUCAUAA